rnacentral:rRNA from 1 species
CCUACGUGAUGCAGCAGUGGGGAAUAUUGCGCAAUGGGCGAAAGCCUGACGCAGCGACGCCGCGUGAGGGAUGAAGGUCUUCGGAUCGUAAACCUCUGUCAGCAGGGAAGAACGGUCACUGUGCUAAUCAGCAGUGAAUUGACGGUACCUGCAAAGGAAGCACCGGCUAACUCCGUGCCAGCAGCCGCGGUAAUACGGAGGGUGCGAGCGUUAAUCGGAAUUACUGGGCGUAAAGCGCUCGUAGGCGGUAUGUCAAGUCAAGGGUGAAAUCCCCGCGCUCAACGUGGGAACUGCCUUUGAAACUGGCAAACUGGAGUGUGUGAGAGGAGAGUGGAAUUCCAGGUGUAGGAGUGAAAUCCGUAGAGAUCUGGAGGAACAUCAGUGGCGAAGGCGACUAUCUGGCACAUAACUGACGCUGAGGAGCGAAAGCGUGGGUAGCAAACAGGAUUAGAUACACCAGUAGUC